GACGAACGCUGGCGGCGUGCUUAACACAUGCAAGUCGAGCGGUAAGGCCCUUUCGGGGGUACACGAGCGGCGAACGGGUGAGUAACACGUGGGUGACCUGCCCUCAGCUCUGGGGAUAAGCCUGGGAAACCGGGUCUAAUACUGGAUAUGACUCCAUGACGCAUGUUGUGGGGUGAAAGCCUUGUGCGGGCUGAGGAUGGGGCCCGCGGCCUAUCAGCUUGUUGGUGGGGUGAUGGCCUACCAAGGCGACGACGGGUAGCCGGCCUGAGAGGGCGACCGGCCACACU
rnacentral:rRNA from 1 species